UAUUUGUUAGCACAGAAAGGAAGGUAGGAUAGCAUAAUAGAGGGUGUGGGAAGGGAGAAGCUACAGUCAACAAUCCCAAAGGCUGUGCCAACCUCUCUCCCAUGUUGUGACUACUGGUAGCCACCACAGGUAUUUCAAAGGGGAAACAAAAUUCAAAUUCACAUUGUUGAUAUCUGGAAACCAGUCUUCAUCAUAGUGCACUUGAAGAUAAAGAGAGAAAAAAAGGAAACAGGGCUCUAUGCUAAAUGAAUAGCCAAGAAUCAAGGUCAAGAGAGAAGGAAAACAAAUGGGGGAAAAAUGAUUAAAGGAAGGCACUUAACUCCUGGGAGGCAGCACAAAGAACUCUAUAGAAAGGAAACAGUCUACAGAAAGCACUUUCACUUCAAGAGAAAGCUGAGAGGAAAGAUCUAAAUAGUAGAUGCUGAUGGACAAUCUGGAAGGAAGGAAGCUAUCAGAAGAUUUUGGAAAUGAUUGUCACUGACUCCUCUUCACCAAAGAGAUAAGUGAAUGUGACUGGUUUAAAAAAUGCUAAGUUCAGUAAAAGAACACUUGUGGAUGAAGAAAUAAAUCUAAAAUGUCUCUGUAGGACAAAAAAUAAACUUUGAUUUGGUUUGCUUUUAAAUUCAAGUCAUAUUUAUACCAAAACCCACAAGCUUCCUCUUAGUUCUAAGAGCAAAUACAAAAUCCUCUGUCUGGCAUUUAAAGUCUUUCCCAUCUUGACCCCCCUCCUAUCUCUCUAGUAUUCUUACACUUUAAUCCCCUCCAUGUAUUCUACAUUAGGCUCCAUUUUUCUCAGCUAUAAAAUUGGGAGAAUUCUACUUCACAGAGUAAUUGAAGAUCAAAUGAGAUAAUUUUAUUUAAUUGUGCUUUGAUAAACAUAAAACUCUUGUGUUAAAAACAAUAGCCAGCAUUUAUAUCACAGUUAAAUAUUUGCAGAGUUAUUAAUAUUACUGUAUAGAUAUCUGAAUCUCCUUUCUAUUAUCUCUCUUAUUCUCAUUCCCCAACAAACUCUUGCCCCCCCCCAAAAAAAAAAUCACCACCUCAAUAGCUUUUAUCAGCAUAGGAAAAUUACUGUUUUCUUCUUCCCCCUUUAUUUUUUCUUUCAAUUUUCUUUAAGGAUCAAUAUUUUUUAAUCCAUAUAUACUUCUAGACUGUAUUGUUUAUGUCAUAGUACAUGUAAAUUUGGAGAAUAGGGAUUAUGUUUAUUUUACCAUCAUUAGAAUCUCAAUACAAUCCUAGCUAUCAAAUUUACUAGCUUUGAGACUUUAGGAAUCAUUUUAACACUCUGGGUGACAGAUUACUAAAAAUGAGGAUGAUAAUUUGUGGAAAGCUCUUUAG